GGAUAACAUUCCUAGCCCUAAGUCUGUCACCUAGUCCUUUCACGAGCUGAUCCCUCAGGCCUCCUUGCCAGAAGCUUCCACAGAACACCAUUCUCCCCCCGGAAGGUCUCCUCCUGGCAUCAAAGCGUUUCUCUUCUUGCCCUUUCCUUGUAGGUUUCCUUUUCCAUCUGCCAGGAGGAAAGGUGGUCCUUUAAGGGCAGAGACCUAGCUCACUUAUCUUUUUUUUUCCUCACCCCCCAGUGCUUAGCAUAUACCCGGAGCCAAGUCAGUGCUUUUGUAAGAAUGGAGUCACCAUGGAAUUGCGAAACAGCAAGAGCUGGUUCAGGCAGGCAAGCAGCUGGAACCAGGAAACGGUUAAAGGCAGGAGGGAUCCACUUCACUCUGGGCUGGUGGCCAUCUGCUUCCGGCCUUCCUGUCCCUCCCACGGUGGACGGUGGACGCAGGCUUCCUGCAGUCUGGGAGGGGGUCUGAGUGGGAGAGUCAGAAACCCAGGGGUGAAGGGGCUCCCCGAGCCCCGAAUGAGGGCGUUCAGAAAAGUGGCUCAGCAUCGAGGGACUUCUGACUCUCUUUGUGAGAAAGACCAGGUGGGCAGGGCCCCUGGGAGUGAGUGCAAUGGGGAGUUUGCUCCCCAGAAGAUGUGGCUGGGCCUCUCCUGGAGCCACAAGGGAACCGACAGUUCGUUCCAGGUCGCCCAGCCCGAGAGGCUUGAGAGGAAGGCAAAGAUUCAUGGUGGGCACUAGACACAGGACUCAAUUCCUGGACUAUGUGCUUUCCAGCUAGCUCCACGGACUACAUCAAGGCAUCAUGCCGGGCUUCCCUGUCCUUCACCAUCUCCCAGAGAUUGCUCAAACUCAUGUCCAUUGAGUCAGUGAUGCCAUCCAACCAUCUCAUCCUCUGUCGUCCCCUUCUCCUCCUGCCUUCAACUUCCCUGAACUGUACACACCAUGAAUUGAUUGCCCCACACUUUCCACCCACUCUUUCUAAAUUGUACCUUUCGGGACUACACAGACCAAGUUUCCUCAAAAUACCAACCUUCAAAUAGUGGGGGAAAGCUAUGAUUUUCCCACCGGAAUCUAGUCUUUCUCAGGCUAAAUGUCUCCUUCUCUUUCAACGCUUGCCCCGGUCAACCCGCCACCCUUUGAGUGACUCCCCUCAAGGUCAUCCGUAAGUUGAAAUGUUGGAAACACCUAACUAUCCAGCAGUGGAGGCUCAACUAAACCACGCAACGAAUCACGUCAAGAUAGGAUACCAGAUAAAAGAAGAGAUAAAGCAGUAGAUUUAGUAUGAUUUAAGUCUUGUAAUUAAAACUUUAUAUGUUAAAAUAAAUUUUUGUAAUAUUUGUCACAGGGUGGAACAAUGGUAUUGGCAAAAUCAUCAGGCGACAAAUGCUGUCUCUUGCUCACUCCAAAGUUUCAGGAACUGGCUCAUGAGGUUUUCAGCAGUAAAGAAAUGGAGGGGGCAAAUAAUUCCAGUCCCUUUG
ensembl:lncRNA